rnacentral:rRNA from 1 species
CCUACGGGAGGCAGCAGUGGGGGAUAUUGCACAAUGGGGGAAACCCUGAUGCAGCGACGCCGCGUGGGUGAAGAAGGGCCUCGGCGCGUAAAGCCCUGUCAGCAGGGAAGAAAAUGACGGUACGUGAAGAAGAAGCCCCGGCUAACUACGUGCCAGCAGCCGCGGUAAUACGGAGGGGGCAAGCGUUAUCCGGAUUUACUGGGUGUAAAGGGGGCGCAGACGGGGAUGCAAGCCAGGAGUGAAAGCCCGGGGCCCAACCCCGGGACUGCUCUUGGAACUGCGUGGCUAGAGUGCAGGAGGGGCAGGCGGAAUUCCUGGUGUAGCGGUGAAAUGCGUAGAUAUCAGGAGGAACACCGGUGGCGAAGGCGGCCUGCUGGACUGCAACUGACGUUGAGGCCCGAAAGCGUGGGGAGCAAACAGGAUUAGAUACCCCAGUAGUC